rnacentral:rRNA from 1 species
AUUGAACGCUGGCGGCAGGCCUAACACAUGCAAGUCGAGCGGUAGAGAGAAGCUUGCUUCUCUUGAGAGCGGCGGACGGGUGAGUAAUGCCUAGGAAUCUGCCUGGUAGUGGGGGAUAACGUUCGGAAACGGACGCUAAUACCGCAUACGUCCUACGGGAGAAAGCAGGGGACCUUCGGGCCUUGCGCUAUCAGAUGAGCCUAGGUCGGAUUAGCUAGUUGGUGGGGUAAUGGCUCACCAAGGCGACGAUCCGUAACUGGUCUGAGAGGAUGAUCAGUCACACUGGAACUGAGACACGGUCCAGACUCCUACGGGAGGUAGCAGUGGGGAAUAUUGGACAAUGGGCGAAAGCCUGAUCCAGCCAUGCCGCGUGUGUGAAGAAGGUCUUCGGAUUGUAAAGCACUUUAAGUUGGGAGGAAGGGUUGUAGAUUAAUACUCUGCAAUUUUGACGUUACCGACAGAAUAAGCACCGGCUAACUCUGUG